rnacentral:rRNA from 1 species
UACGAAGGGGGCUAGCGUUGCUCGGAAUCACUGGGCGUAAAGGGUGCGUAGGCGGGUCUUUAAGUCAGGGGUGAAAUCCUGGAGCUCAACUCCAGAACUGCCUUUGAUACUGAGGAUCUUGAGUUCGGGAGAGGUGAGUGGAACUGCGAGUGUAGAGGUGAAAUUCGUAGAUAUUCGCAAGAACACCAGUGGCGAAGGCGGCUCACUGGCCCGGCACUGACGCUGAGGUGCGAAAGCGUGGGGAGCAAACAGG